GACGAACGCUGGCGGCGUGCCUAAUACAUGCAAGUCGAACGAACUCUGGUAUUGAUUGGUGCUUGCAUCAUGAUUUACAUUUGAGUGAGUGGCGAACUGGUGAGUAACACGUGGGAAACCUGCCCAGAAGCGGGGGAUAACACCUGGAAACAGAUGCUAAUACCGCAUAACAACUUGGACCGCAUGGUCCGAGCUUGAAAGAUGGCUUCGGCUAUCACUUUUGGAUGGUCCCGCGGCGUAUUAGCUAGAUGGUGGGGUAACGGCUCACCAUGGCAAUGAUACGUAGCCGACCUGAGAGGGUAAUCGGCCACAUUGGGACUGAGACACGGCCCAAACUCCUACGGGAGGCAGCAGUAGGGAAUCUUCCACAAUGGACGAAAGUCUGAUGGAGCAACGCCGCGUGAGUGAAGAAGGGUUUCGGCUCGUAAAACUCUGUUGUUAAAGAAGAACAUAUCUGAGAGUAACUGUUCAGGUAUUGACGGUAUUUAACCAGAAAGCCACGGCUAACUACGUGCCAGCAGCCGCGGUAAUACGUAGGUGGCAAGCGUUGUCCGGAUUUAUUGGGCGUAAAGCGAGCGCAGGCGGUUUUUUAAGUCUGAUGUGAAAGCCUUCGGCUCAACCGAAGAAGUGCAUCGGAAACUGGGGGAACUUGAGUGCAGAAGAGGACAGUGGAACUCCAUGUGUAGCGGUGAAAUGCGUAGAUAUAUGGAAGAACACCAGUGGCGAAGGCGGCUGUCUGGUCUGUAACUGACGCUGAGGCUCGAAAGUAUGGGUAGCAAACAGGAUUAGAUACCCUGGUAGUCCAUACCGUAAACGAUGAAUGCUAAGUGUUGGAGGGUUUCCGCCCUUCAGUGCUGCAGCUAACGCAUUAAGCAUUCCGCCUGGGGAGUACGGCCGCAAGGCUGAAACUCAAAGGAAUUGACGGGGGCCCGCACAAGCGGUGGAGCAUGUGGUUUAAUUCGAAGCUACGCGAAGAACCUUACCAGGUCUUGACAUACUAUGCAAAUCUAAGAGAUUAGACGUUCCCUUCGGGGACAUGGAUACAGGUGGUGCAUGGUUGUCGUCAGCUCGUGUCGUGAGAUGUUGGGUUAAGUCCCGCAACGAGCGCAACCCUUAUUAUCAGUUGCCAGCAUUAAGUUGGGCACUCUGGUGAGACUGCCGGUGACAAACCGGAGGAAGGUGGGGAUGACGUCAAAUCAUCAUGCCCCUUAUGACCUGGGCUACACACGUGCUACAAUGGAUGGUACAACGAGUUGCGAACUCGCGAGAGUAAGCUAAUCUCUUAAAGCCAUUCUCAGUUCGGAUUGUAGGCUGCAACUCGCCUACAUGAAGUCGGAAUCGCUAGUAAUCGCGGAUCAGCAUGCCGCGGUGAAUACGUUCCCGGGCCUUGUACACACCGCCCGUCACACCAUGAGAGUUUGUAACACCCAAAGUCGGUGGGGUAACCUUUUAGGAACCAGCCGCCUAAGGUGGGACAGAUGAUUAGGGUG
rnacentral:rRNA from 1 species